rnacentral:rRNA from 1 species
GACGUAGGAGGCGAGCGUUGUCCGGAUUCAUUGGGCGUAAAGAGCACGCAGGCGGUUUGGCAAGUCGGGUGUGAAAACCCGGAGCUCAACUCCGGACCUGCAUCCGAAACUGCCCGACUAGAGGUAGGUAGGGGAGAUCGGAAUUCCUGGUGUAGCGGUGAAAUGCGCAGAUAUCAGGAGGAACACCGGUGGCGAAGGCGGAUCUCUGGGCCUUACCUGACGCUCAGGUGCGAAAGCUAGGGGAGCGAACAGG